UCUCCGUUGGUGAACCAGCGGAGGGAUCAUUGCUGGAACAAACGCCUCCGGGCGCUACCCAGAAACCCUUUGUGAAUACUACCUACCUGUUGCCUCGGCCUUGGUUGGCUUUUUCGAAAGUCCCUUUCUCUUCGGAGAGGAGCAGACCGGCCGACGGCCCCCUUCUAAACUCUUGUUUUUGUAAUAUCGUCUGAGUAAAACAACUAUAAAUGAAUCAAAACUUUCAACAACGGAUCUCUUGGUUCUGGCAUCGAUGAAGAACGCAGC
rnacentral:misc_RNA from 1 species